GAUUUCGCAACAAAGCAAAGAGUCUGGGAUGCGCGUCGGUCAAGUUUGUGACGUUAUUUAUUUACCACUUUGACGAUAAGAUACUGCAUCCUGAUCACAUCUGAUAGUCGGAAUAAAAACUGAGAUUUGCGUGGAAUCAUAUGCGGCAUAAAUCUGAAAUAGUAGUCACAUUCCGGCGAGAUUCAGGGCGAACGUAAUCUCUUGUCGCACAAUUUGUACUCUAAAUAGAACGCAUAGAACCCAGCAAGAAAAGGCUGGAUACUACACCGUGUUGCUCUGGCAUCUCUCACGGCCACCUAUACUGACUCGGAGGGUGAGGACGGGGUGGACGACGAUCUACAGGAGCAUUCAAACAC
rnacentral:misc_RNA from 1 species